rnacentral:rRNA from 1 species
CGCACCUUGCGCCCUUUGGCUAUUCCGGAAGGGCAUGCCUGUUUGAGUAUCAUGAACACCUCAACUCUUCAUGGUUUUCCGUGAUGGGCUUGGACUUUGGGGGUCUUAGCUGGCCUGUAGUCAGCUCCUCUCAAAUGAAUCAGCUUUCCAGUGUUUGGCAGCGUCACAGGUGUGACUAACUUAUCUACGCUUGUGGUUUUCUGGCCACGGUAAUCCUCAGUGAUGGGGAUUCGCUGGGGGCUUAUAAAUGUCUCUCCUCAGCGAAGACGAGCUUUGUGAACAUUUGAUCUCAAAUCAGGUAGGACUACCCGCUGAACUUAA